AUUGAACGCUGGCGGCAGGCCUAACACAUGCAAGUCGAGCGAGCGGCGGACGGGUGAGUAAUGUCUGGGAAACUGCCUGAUGGAGGGGGAUAACUACUGGCAACGGUAGCUAAUCCCGCAUACCAUCAGAUGAGCCCAGAUGGGAUUAGCUAGUAGGUGAGGUAACGGCUCACCUCGGCGACGCUCCCUAGCUGGUCUGAGAGGAUGACCAGCCACAUUGGAACGGAGACACGGUCCAGCCUCCUACGGGAGGCAGCAGGGGGGAAUAUGGCACAAUGGGGGAAAGCCUGAGACAGCCAUGCCGAGGGAGUGAAGAAGGCCUUGGGGUUGUAAAGCACUUUCAGAGGGGAGGCGUUACCCUCAGAAGAAGCACCGGCUAACUCCGUGCCAGCAGCCGCGGUAAUUC
rnacentral:rRNA from 1 species